rnacentral:rRNA from 1 species
AUGGUCGAUGCGGUGGCUACGACCGGCGGCCGAUUCGGCGGCGCGUUGGACGCCGACGACCCCGCGGCCUUGAAGGCCGCCGUCCGGAGCGUCGUCUACGAGGCCUGCAAGGGGCAGCUGUACGACGAGGUGCAGCGCCUCCGGCCCCUCAUCGCCUCCGGCUCCGACGCCGAGCUCGCCGCGGCGCUCCGCGUGACCUCCCUCGCGCUGGCCGACGCCGCCGCAGCCGUCGCCGAGGCCGACGCCGCCCUCCGCCUCCGGGGGCUCGCGGACGACCCCGACUUGAUGCCGCACUGGCGCGACAACCUCAUUGACAGCAUCCACCGCGCCGGCCUCGUCCUGGCCGCGAUACAGCGCUACCCGCCGGAGCGCUGGCGGAUGCAAGGCCAGCUGCUGGUGGCCGUUUUGCACGCCGUCGGCGAGUCCGCCUCGUACUGGCGGCACUGGGACCGCGUGCGGCCGGCCGGUCGUAAUCGUCCGACUUCGGCAUCAGGCGCCGUCGAUGGCCUAGCUUCGGGGAUCCAGGCCGUGCAAAUAUCUUCUUCUUCACCAGAAUAA